CCUACGGGUGGCAGCAGUGGGGAAUAUUGGGCAAUGGGCGCAAGCCUGACCCAGCAACGCCGCGUGAAUGAAGAAGGCUUUCGGGUUGUAAACUUCUUUUAUCAGGGACGAAGCAACUGACGGUACCUGAUGAGUAAGCCACGGCUAACGACGUGCCAGCAGCCGCGGUAAUACGUAGGGGGCAAGCGUUAUCCGGAUUUACGGGGUGUAAAGGGCGUGUAGGCGGCAGCGCAAGUCAGAAGUGAAAACUACGGGCUCAACCCAUGGCCUGCAUUGGACACUGUGCUUCUAGAGUGCUGGAGAGGCAAGUGGAAUUCCGAGUGUAGCGGUGAAAUGCGUAGAUAUUAGGAGGAACACCAGUGGCGAAGGCGGAUUACUGGACAGUAACUGACGUUGAGGCGCGAAAGCGUGGGGAGCAAACAGGAGUAGAUACCCUGGUAGUC
rnacentral:rRNA from 1 species